rnacentral:lncRNA from 1 species
UUCGGGGUAUUAAUAUAAUUUCACACAUUUUCAUUGGAUUUGGAACGGUCCGGUGAGCAUGAAAAGAAUCAAAAUGCAUAAAAAAACAGAUUCUAAACCUGUGGUGUGAUAUACUUGGACGCGGCGCCCCUUGAAAAUACAAGGGACCUUUCAGAACCAACGAUACGCCUCGUCCUCCUCCUCAAUUCAGCUACUGCCACUGGUGAGUUUGUGAUGGUCACUACAACAUUUCUGGGGGCCAAGACUUUGCUGGGACACACCCGAUUGAAAUUUAAUAAAUCCACCACAAAAUAAUUGAAAAAAAAAACGUGUAAUAUACGAUGUUUACCAAAUAACCAUAAGAAGAAGUUGUUGGUUUUCCCAUGAUUCCAGAGUUUCUUCUUGCUGUCCUUUUCCUUUUCCACGGAGGCGUGGUCCCUCCUACUGCUUCAUCAGCAUGCAUGGAAAUUGACUCUUGCGGUCUCAAAU